rnacentral:rRNA from 1 species
GACGAACGCUGGCGGCGUGCUUAACACAUGCAAGUCGAGCGGAAAGGCCACUUCGGUGGUACUCGAGCGGCGAACGGGCGAGUAACACGUGAGUAAUCUGCCCCUGGCUUUGGGAUAGCCACCGGAAACGGUGAUUAAUACCGGAUACGACCACUUCUCGCAUGGGAUGGUGGUGGAAAGUUUUUUCGGCCAGGGAUGUGCUCGCGGCCUAUCAGCUUGAUGGUGAGGUAAUGGCUCACCAUGGCUUCGACGGGUAGCCGGCCUGAGAGGGUGACCGGUCAGACUGGGACUGAGACACGGCCCAGACUCCUACGGGAGGCAGGAGUGGGGAAUAGUGGACAAUGGGAGGGAGCCUGAUCCAUCAACGCCGCGUGAGGGAUGACGGCCUUCGGGUUGUAAACGUCUUUCAGCAGGGACGAAGCGCAAGUGACGGUACCUGCAGAAGAAGCACCGGCCAACUACGUGCCAGCCGCCGCGGUAA